rnacentral:rRNA from 1 species
ACAGCAGUCGCCGCGGGAAUACGUAGGGUGCAAGCGUUAAUCGGAAUUACUGGGCGUAAAGCGUGCGCAGGCGGUUAUAUAAGACAGUCGUGAAAUCCCCGGGCUCAACCUGGGAACUGCGAUUGUGACUGUAUGGCUAGAGUGUGUCUGAGGGGGGUAGAAUUCCACGUGUAGCAGUGAAAUGCGUAGAUAUGUGGAGGAAUACCGAUGGCGAAGGCAGCCCCCUGGGAUAACACUGACGCUCAUGCACGAAAGCGUGGGGAGCAAACAGGAUUAGAUACCCGAGUAGUCCCUGUCUCUUAUAC